rnacentral:rRNA from 1 species
GACGUAGGGGGCAAGCGUUGUCCGGAAUCAUUGGGCGUAAAGAGCGUGUAGGCGGCCCGGUAAGUCCGCCGUGAAAGUCCAGGGCUCAACCCUGGAAUGCCGGUGGAAACUGCCGGGCUGGAGUCCGGAAGAGGCGAGUGGAAUUCCUGGUGUAGCGGUGAAAUGCGCAGAUAUCAGGAGGAACACCAAUGGCGAAGGCAGCUCGCUGGGACGGUACUGACGCUGAGACGCGAAAGCGUGGGGAGCAAACAGG